rnacentral:rRNA from 1 species
GUGUCAGCCGCCGCGGUAAUACGGAGGGUGCAAGCGUUAUCCGGAUUUACUGGGUUUAAAGGGAGCGCAGGCGGAUUAGUAAGUCAGUGGUGAAAGCCUUGAGCUUAACUCGAGAACUGCCAUUGAUACUAUUAGUCUUGAAUGUUGUUGAGGUUUGCGGAAUGGGUCAUGUAGCGGUGAAAUGCAUAGAUAUGACCCGGAACACCUAUUGCGAAGGCAGCAGGCUAAACAAAUAUUGACGCUGAGGCUCGAAAGCGUGGGGAUCAAACAGGAUUAGAUACCCGCGUAGUCC